UUAUUAUAUAAUUAUUUUUUUUUGUUUAUUUUAUUUUUUAAUUAAUUAUUUUUAUUUUUUAUAGGUUUAGUAAUAUUUUUUUUAAAUUCUUUUUUUAAUUAUAGUUUAAUUUUAAUGUAAAUGAUUUUGUUUCUUUUUGUUAAAGAAUUUUUAUUUAUUUUACCUUUUGUAUCAGGGUUUAUUUAAUAAUUUUUUUUUAUAAAUUUUUCUCGAAUUGUGAGGAUUUAUUUUAAUGUGAUUUUUAACGUUUUAUAGUUAUUUUUUAUUUUAUGAUGGUAGUGAAAUGCUAUUCGUUUCUUAAUAUAUCUAGUUUUCUGAGAAUUAAAUUUAAUUUUAAGGGUUUUUUUAAUUUAAUUUAUUUAAAUUUAUUUAAUUUUUAAUUCUCUUUUAAUUUUAAGGGGUUAAGCUCUUAAUUGUUUUAUAAUUUUAUUUUUUUUUUUAACAAGGUUAUAGGCUUGAAAUCAGCCUUUGUUUUAUUUGCGUUUUAGUAUACUUGUUGUUUUAAUUAUUUUUUAUUUUAUUUAAUUUUUUUAUUGGAAUAUUAACUUUAAUUUUUUUUUGUUAAUUAAUUAUGAUGGAAUUAGUAUAUUUAUUUGUUUUUAAUUUAUUUAUUUAAAUUUUAAUUUAAGUAAUUCGGCAAGUUUUUAAUGUUUCCGCCUGUUUAUCAAAAACAUCUCCUUUAGUGUUUAUUAUAGGUUGGGCCUGCUCACUGAUUUUUAAAGAGCCGCGGUAUUUUGACUGUGCAAAGGUAGCAUAAUCAUUAGUUUAUUAAUUGUAAACUGGAAUGAAAGGUUUGACGAGAAACAUGCUGUCUCUAUUUAAUAUAUAGAAUUUUAUUUUUUAGUAAAAAAGCUGAAAUAUUAUUUUAGGACGAUAAGACCCUAUAGAGUUUUAUUUAUCUAUUUUUUAUGAUUUGGGGUCUUUUUCUUUUAUAGAUUUAUGGAUAUAGUUUUGUUGGGGUGAUGUGAAUAAUUGAUAAACUAUUCAUUUAUUUUUUUUUUCAUUGAUUUAUGUUUUUUAUGAUCUUUUAUUAUUGAUGUUGAGAUAUAAUUACCUUAGGGAUAACAGCGCAAUUAUUUUUGAGAGUUCUUAUUGAUAAAAUAGAUUGUGACCUCGAUGUUGGAUUAAGAUUAUUAUUUGGGUGUAGAAGCUUAAAUUAUUGGUCUGUUCGACCAUUAAAAUCUUACAUGAUCUGAGUUCAGACCGGUGUGAGCCAGGUUGGUUUCUAUCUUAAGUUAUUUUUUAAAUUUUCUAGUACGAAAGGACCGUUAAUUUUAAUUAUUUUAUUUUUUUUUGAUUAUUAUU
rnacentral:rRNA from 1 species